rnacentral:lncRNA from 1 species
AGUCCCUAGUCUGGUUUUCAGAGAAGAGACACUGUGUUGGGCAAGCAGGCAGCUGGGGGGGGGGGGGGUGUCUGCCCAGGAGGCCUGGAGCUGGAGGGGGCAGCUGCAGAGGGAGCUGGAAAUUGGGGGGGGGGGAAGGGUUGUGCAGAGGAUGGAGCAGGCUCCACCUUCUUGCCUUUCGGGGACCGGCCAAGGCUGGAGCUUUGAGCUGCUGAGACAGACCACCUGCACAGGUUAUCACUGCCUCCCCACCUUGUCCCAACCAGCAUCCCAGAGGAGCGAUGGUCCUGGGGACUAGACAAUAGAGACGCGGAUAUGAAGGAGGCACUGGCCUUGCCCUGCGGCCAGCUAUUGCCAGCCAGCCUUGAUCGACACCAAAGACGCCUAAUCUCUCUCUGGCCCGAGGGGAGCAGAAGCGUUUGUGAAACAGAUUUUUACAAAAUGUUUUGACCCUGCUCUCCCCUCCUCCCCCCUAUCCCUGCCUGGCACCGUGUCACCUAAUUAAAUCAGCCUUCGCGGGCGACUCUGCUUCCUGCUAA